GCACAUUACUCCUCUCAUUACUCCUAUUAUCACAAACCGAUGGGGAUAUUAACACCCUUUACUUGGCUGUACAAAUACAACUUGGCAAAAUCAUUGGUCUCUUCAUUGAUGAUAAUACCUUAAAUGAAUGAGCUUCUUCUGUCUAUCAGAUAAAGGGAAAGAAUAGAGACACUUUGCUGCUAUAAUAAAUUAUGAAGUAAAGAAAAUGUAAACAUCACUCCAGGCCAUUUGUACAUUUACACAUCCAAGUUCAAGUGUGGAAAAAUUCAUGCUGACAGAAAAGAGUAUUAGUUUCGUGACAAAUGGAAGUUCCAGCAGAACUUAAAUUUAUCAAUUGGCUUUUCCCAUCUACUUGCUUUUUCCUGCUAAAUGCUAUGCGCUAAAUCCAUAUCCAACACAUUCCAUUCAACUCCAUUAGCAACAACAAUAAUUACCACUCGUCAAAGACAUCUCAACUUUCUUCCUUCCCAUGUAUCUGUCUCUUUACUAACUACAGAGCAACUCAGACUGUCAACAAAACAUGUACUCAUCUUCCAGAAAAAUUCCUCAGGCUCGUGUUUUGAAGUUGCAGAUACAUGUGGUAAGAGUAAAAGGCUUAGGGAAAGAACCAGGCUUUGAUGAAGAUUGCCAGGGCUAGCUGCAGAAAGAAUGCCGCGAACACCACAAUUGUAAGAUCAUUCCCCUCAACACAAGACUUGAGGUUGACAGCAACAAAACAUGCUGAGUCGAUCCCAGCCGCAAGUAUAAUGAUCCAGCGGAGUACCUCAACUGGAAUAACCAGCAGAAAAGAGCUCAGAAUAAAAAUGAAGAGUGAAUAGCCCCACAUACACCAAAACCGUACGAGGCUAGCAUUUGUUCCGAGAUACUGAAGCAGGAAGUAAAAUGCCAAUGGUACCACAAUAGCAUAUCCAUAGAUUGCACAUGCUGCCACAUUUACAUAUCCAACAUCAAAGCUCCAAGAAGCACUGCUGUCAGCGCGUUUCUGUAUGAGGUAGGUGGCACAAUUUCCAAGAGAAGCUAGCACAAAGACCAAUGUAGUUGAAAUCCAGAUAAGCCCAGAUUUAAAACAUAAUAAAAAUUCUCAGAAUUAGCAGAGUGCAUACUGAUGUGAAAUAUGCCACUUUUUUGUGUUGUCUCCUAAAUGCUUUACCCCAUUUUACAGAUGAAUCUAAAACUCUCAAUUUUUUUAUAUUUAUUCACCCAUUGGGUGGCAUAUAGUGAUUUGUAAACUUGAAAAUGCAAGAAAAGACAAGGCACCUUUGGAAAAGCAAUAAAGAAAAUUUGAAUCUAGAGUUCCAGUAUUUGAUCAUGUACAGCUUUAAUGGCUGCGUUUCAAAGGAAUGGGAAAGAAAAAGGGAAAGGGGGCAAGAAGCGAGGAGGGAGGGAAAGGGGAAGAGGGUGUGGGCCUCUAUGGAAAGAAAUAGAAAAAAGAAAGAAUCAACUAGAAAAUAAUCGCAAAAAAAGCCCAUUUAGCACGCCAUUGCAGCCUCACUCUUUUCUUCUUUUCUGUCUGCUUUCAUCUUUUUUGUCACAGCCACUUCCACUUACCUCAGAUAAUGAUGAUUAAAAGAAAAAAUAAAAAAUAACACAAUUAUCAUGUUAAAUUUCCUUGAUCAGUUAUCUCUUUCAGAUUUCAAAUAAUUAUGUUUCAAGCUUUUAAGUUAUUAGAAAGUGAAAAACAACUAACUACUAUGCUGACAGUAUUGACAUGUACAUGCUUUUGAUGUCACACCCGCAAAUCCUAUUCCUCAAGUAUAAACAUAUUCCUCACCCCUCCCCCGCAGAAAUAGUUCAUACAGUUUCACAUCAAAGGUACAAAAAAGAUUCUCUAAUAUAUAAAAAUUUUUUUAAUGUCAAGAUACUGGAGGCAAACAAAACAGGGAAAAUGCCAAACUCACAGAUCAGGGUUUGCAUCAAUCUUGCUGAAAAAAUCCCCACCAAUAGGAUAAAAAGAGCUCAUCAUUCUGUUUAUGACAACGUCUGUAUCCACAUUGAAAUACUGUGUGUAUGAUGACACACUGAAUACCCCUUUCCAAUUGUUUGGUGGUUGUUGCUCAAAUCCUUCUGCACAAGAUGAGAUGUUAAAUAGGAGCAAGAAUUAGUAACAUGCAGAUUAAUGCAGCAAAUUAUGCAUCACCAAUAACGUAUGUGAAAUUGUGCCGCAUCAAAAUUUACGACAAAAGAUUAUGCAAAAGCCCCUCACAAUGCUAGUCAAAUUCACAGUAAAAAUGUUCAUACAUUCCCAUUCCACACAUGCAUUAAUACCCACAUUGAAUAUCAACAAAUAAAUAAUUAACAAGACAAGGUAUACCACAGAUCGAUCUGAAUUUAUGAAAUAAAAAGAUGUCAUGCAUCAUAAGUUUCAUCUUCCUAUUAAGUAACAUCUCUAUUUUAUUUUAUCUUUCUUUUUGUUUCCUUUGGGAUUUAUUUUGAGGAAGAAUAAAUUAUAUAGCAACCCUAUUUUAUUGCAGUAAAAAAGUAUUCCCCAGCCUCAAACUGUAUCAAAAAUAUCCAAUGCCCACUUGAGAAAUUAUUAUCACUAGAAAAAUGUGAAGCCACCAAUUCAAGUGGUCUCUUUGAACCAUCCACGUGAUAAAACAUUUGUGGUCUUAUCAACUUACAUCUAGUAGAUGCAUCUAUACCAGUAUAUGCCCUCUACCUAUUAGGCAUUCUCAAUCACUAAAACAAAGACAAAAUAUUUGGAUAACUGAAACAGAUUAUAAACCUAGGAUAUAUCUCUCUUCUAGGGAUGAUGUAAAGCUUACAUAUUGAGAAGGGGAAAAAUGUAAGAAUGGGAUUCCUCGUUUAUAGCCAAAAUACCUAUGAGCAUAUAGUUAUGCUAAGCAAAAUCAACUAUGAUGGGAGAAUCCUCCAAUAGUUUCAGUUUUCAUGAAUUUCACCAAAAAGAUGAUGUUAUUGGGCUAUUACUUUUCAUGUUUCCAAGCCAAGCAAUUGCCCUGUUCAUACAUUAGCUAAAAAAAUCAUUAAAGAAGUAAAAAAGCAAAGCUCCAAUGCAAAGGACUGUAAAUGUGCACAAAUGUGUUUAUGAAUUCUGCAUAUAAUCUGCAAGUCAGUGUUUGCACAUUGUUUGAGAACCAAUUUGCCUAACAUAACAACAUACAUGACCAAGACACAGUCCCGGCUACCUCAAACUAGAAAUCUUAUUUUGAAAAGAAAAUUAGAACAAUAAAUUAUUGUUCCACACAAUGAUUGACAAAAAGUCAAUAAUAGCGAUAAUUACAACAAUAAAUUAUUGUUCCAAAUAUGCAAACUCUUGGAAGUCAACAAGUUAGUUUGAGGGCUUCAGUCGGUUGUGGAAGUACCUCUU
rnacentral:misc_RNA from 1 species